AAAAAUAUCAAAUUAUCAGUAUGGUCCAUAUGAGCAGAUUGUAGCAAAUUAGACACUCCCGUGUCAAUCUCCCCUGGUUGAAAAAGACUUGUCCUCAAGUUCUUGUUUGUUUCGUCAUCAUGAUUAUAAAAAGGACUUAAAUCAGACACAUUAAAUGUUGGGGAUACUCCGUAAUCAUUAGGUAGCUCAAUCUCAUAAGCAUUUUUGCCAAUUCUCUUAAGCACCUUAAAUGGACCAU
rnacentral:lncRNA from 1 species